rnacentral:rRNA from 1 species
CCUACGGGAUGCAGCAGUAGGGAAUCUUCCACAAUGGGCGAAAGCCUGAUGGAGCAACGCCGCGUGGGUGAAGAAGGUCUUCGGAUCGUACAACCCUGUUGUUCGAGAAGAAAGUGCGUGAGAGUAACUGUUCACGUUUCGACGGUAUCUAACCAGAAAGCCACGGCUAACUACGUGCCAGCAGCCGCGGUAAUACGUAGGUGGCACGCGUUAUCCGGAUUUAGUGGGCGUAAAGGGAACGCAGGCGGUCUUUUAAGUCUGAUGUGAAAGCCUUCGGCUUAACCGGAGUAGUGCAUUGGAAACUGGGAGACUUGAGUGCAGAAGAGGAGAGUGGAACUCCAUGUGUAGCGGUGAAAUGCGUAGAUAUAUGGAAGAACACCAGUGGCGAAAGCGGCUCUCUGGUCUGUAACUGACGCUGAGGUUCGAAAGCGUGGGUAGCAAACAGGAUUAGAUACCCGGGUAGUC